rnacentral:rRNA from 1 species
UAUUAUACUAAUAAAUAUAGUUAAACCUAAACUAUUAAUAGAUAUAUUCUUUAAAUUUGAAGAAUUUGGCGGUGAUUUAAUCUUGUUAGAGGAACCUGUUUUUGAAUCGAUACACCACGGAGAAUCUUACUUGUCUUACAUAGUCUGUAUACCGUCAUUAUCAGACAAUUCCUAAAGGAUAAAUUGUUAAAGUUUAGGGAUUAAGCUAAAUUAGAUCAAGGUGCAGCUUAUAGAUAAGCUAAAAUGGGUUACAAUAAAAUUUAUUUAUUAUGGAGCAAUUCUAGGAAAAUAAAUUGUGAAGGAGGAUUUAAUUGUAAUGUAAGUUUAAUAAGUUUAAAAGAUAUAAGCUCUAAAUCAU